rnacentral:rRNA from 1 species
UACGGAGGGUGCAAGCGUUAGUCGGAAUUACUGGGCGUAAAGGGUGCGUAGGCGGCUAUGUAAGUCAGACGUGAAAUUCCGAGGCUCAACCUCGGAGCUGCAUCUGAAACUGCGUAACUAGCGGGAUGGCGGAGAAAACGGAAUUCCAUGUGUAGCGGUGAAAUGCGUAGAUAUAUGGAAGAACACCUGUGGCGAAAGCGGUUUUCUAGCCUCCCCCGGACGCUGAGGCACGAAAGCAAGGGGAUCAAACAGG